UCUAUAAUCACUUAGUUUAUGCUAGUUAUAUAUAAUCUAAUAUCAAAUGGACACUUAAAUGUGUGAAUCUGCCCUAAGCCCACAUCCAAACAAGGAACUGGGAAUGAGGCGGAAGUCACACAUUCCACUGCCUAACGGAUAUUAAUUAUAUAUAACUCUGAUAUAUAAACUAAGGUAUUAUAUAAUUAACCACUUAAGGUCGUUUAUGUUAUACUAUUUUAAUAAAAAGUAUUAAACCCUUUUAUAAAUAAGUUUCUAGUUUCACUAAAUCAAUUGUGAAACGUUGUUUUUGGUAAAAAUACUAUUGUUUUCAGAAAGUUCAAUGGAAAUCUGUUUACCUUAAAAGAAUGAUGUUUACCAUAUAAAAUCCUAUAUUUUCUAUAAAAACCGACUGGAUGUUCAUGUUGUUCUAAGUUUGAAAAGCACAAGUAUACUCCUUAUACUUACUACAAUGAUGUCUAGUUUUGUUGAUAUGUUAAACUGAAUAAAGAAUUGGUUGUUCUGGAUACCUGAUAUGAUGAUACUACCCUCCUAUGAUUACUUAAUACAUACGAGUUGCAUAUAACCGAGAUCGAAUAGACAGUAUGGGGGAAUCUGCCCUAAGCCCACAACCAAACAAGGAACAGGAAAUGAAGCAGAAAGCACACAUUCCACUGUCUAUCGGACUUCAGUUUUAUCUAACCCUAAAUUAUACAUUGGGUAAUCACAUAGUUAGAUCCUUUGAGAUUUGUUCAUGAAAAGUUUAUUACUACGUGUGUGUGUGUGUGUGUAUAUAUAUAUAUAUAUAUAUCGUUGUUAUCUAUUGUGAGUUUUACGACCAUACUAAUUGGAGCGUUUAACCACAACGUAUUGCAGAUGGCGAAAAGAUAUGACAUUUGUCACCCGCAGACCUGCCGGUCCGGCUGUAGCUAACAGCGAGGUGUGGGAUUGCCAAUUUCGUAUAUAUCUAUACACAAACUCACGCUCUCACUCCAGGAGACUUUGGUCGUAAGGGUAGACUUUCAUUGGUAGUUAUGUGAGUACUCAAAGACGUGUCUCACAAGUUGGAUUCACGAAUUUACACAUGAUAAAGUGGAAAAUCUUUUUUAUAUUUGACAGAUAAGUUUAUAAAAAGAUCCUUUGUUCCCUAAGUUAAACUUAUUAAAGGUUAUAAGCUUAUUUCUAUGUUCUGUUCAAUGUUUCAUGUUCUAAAUACAGUUUAUUGGUACAAAGACAUAAUAAGCAAUUUAUAUUUUUAAAACACAACAUUUUUUGUGGUAUACUUGUAUCCCCCCCUAAAGCAUUUAAAACCAUUUAAAAGAUGGAUUAUAGGGGUAUGAACUCGCCUUAUGUGGGUGAUUCAAUUGAAGAUUCGAGUAAGGAUUAGAAGUUCCACGAAUGAAGUCCCGAGGCACAAACGAGUCCUAAACGACAUAUAUUGAUACAUAUAUGUAUNCAAGAAGUGUUCACGGCCUUGGGAGGGUUCACGGCCAAGAACACAUGAUGUGUUCACGGCCCAACCUUGGUUUAUGAAGUAUUCACGACCAUGAAUGAAGGGUUCACGACCAUAUCACGAUCCUAUGAAGGGUUAACGGCCCAAUGAAGGGUUCACGGCCGUGAAAUCUUAAAGAAUCAUGCCAAAUAGGUGUUUGUUUCAUGGGGAUUCAAGAGCUUCUAACGGACAAUAAGUAGAUGAUUGAUCUACUUACCAUUUGGAAGCUUUUAGGGUGUUCACGGUCCAAGAACUAGUAUGUGUUCUUGGUGGAAAAGAUGGUGAUUUGAAGAUCUUGAAGGAAAAGAGAUGAAUCAAUAUGGAAUCAAAGGGGUUUCUAAGUAUACACAAGUACAGGGAUGAGACACUUACGAUUUUGAGGUGAAAAGAGAGACUUUGUUGGAUGAUACUUGACAGAGAAUGGAGUGAUUGCGGCCAAGAGGAUGAAUAAUGAAAGAAAAAUAAAGCUAUCUCAUAUAUAUAUAUGCGAGGGAGUGUUUGCGGCCGAGAAGUUCACGACCGUGAACCGAGGGUUCACAGUCCGAAGCCGUUCACGACCUCGUUCACGGUCCGAGGUCUUGGUCAUGUUCACGGCUACGAAGCUUUGUGGUCAAUGCGAGGGUUCUCGGUUCCUAAGGCUUUUCCCUUCAACAAUAACACACUUAGAUAUAAGGCUUUAAAACUUGUAAACCAAUAAUCCAUCUAAUUUAAAGAUCAUGAAAGGAAUAAGUUUGACCAAAGUUGACUUUAUAAGAAUAAUAUUUUUGGGAUGUGACAUCAUCCCCCCGUUAGAUGGUAUUUCAUCCCGAAAUUAGUUUUCUCAGCAGUACUCUUGGGGUCGUGCUCUUCUGAAUGGCUGAAUACCUUCUCAUAGACCUGGGCAACUUUGCCCUGAAGUUCAUGAUAGGAUUCAUACAUGGUCCAUCUAUCAUUACUUUGUGUAUACAAGUCGUAUAUAAUUAAGAUUAGUAAGAUGAUCGGAUGUGCGAAUCUGCCCCAAGUCCACAUCCAAACAAGGAACAGGAGAUAGGGCGGAAGCACACAUUGUAAAUCUGCAUAAUCAUAAUUAUAUACCACCCUCGCAUAUACACUUAAUUGUGAUAGAUGGGUUGUAUUCGUCCUUAGCCUCUGUGCUUGAACUUGAUCUGUUGGACGAGUGGUAAUUUGGGAAGGUCUGUUAAGUAUGAAUCAGAAAUGUUUCGGAGCGCAAGGUACUCCUCACAUGAGUACUUUGGGGUCAAGAAUAGGAGGGAGACGAUUUUGAGGUCUGGGUCGGGCUGUCGUUACGAAUGACGAGGGUUUCGUUAAUUGGUCGGUUAAGGCGAUGGAAUUUCGAAACACAUGAACUUGUUAUGAUGAGGACCACGCCAAUCCAUGACGAAUGAUGGCAACGGACUCUUUAUAGAAACAAAUGUUAGGCUGAUUUGAAAGAAAUGUUUGUUAUACGAUGGUGUAUCCCUAGUGUGCUCGACAAUGAAUUAUGUGAAGACUUUCUAGUGCUUUCAGUUUUCUCCUUGAUAAUACCACUACCACAAAUCAUACCGCGAUAAGCUAGUACUAGCAGUGAUGGUGCUUUGAUAACUAGUGUCGAUACUCUAUAUUAUGAUCCUCCUUGGUACCUCUAUGAUCGCCUGGAUUUUACAAGUUAUGUAUAAUUAAGAUGAAUAAGACGGUCGACUGAGUGACUCUGCCCUAAAUCCACAACCAAACAAGGAACAGGAAAUGAGGCGAAAUCACUCACUCUAAGCCUGCAAAAUCUUAGCUAUGCACAACCCUGAUGUAAAUACUAAGCCAUCAUAGCUCACCUGAACGGAUCUUUAGUUAUCCUAUGAAUGAUGUGUGGACGAGUGAGUUUUUAUAAUUACUUUUAAUAUUUCCCCAAGUUUUAAUCUUAAUAUAAAAUAUAAAUUAAAAAUUUUAAAGUAAUUUUAUUUAGAAGACGUACCGCUGUUCACUGGUGGUUCUGGGGCAACUUCUCCGUUGGUGAUCAUCAGAAUUCGUCCAUCCAUGCCUGAGUUCUUCGUUAUCGAGCAGUCCCUCUUGCAGUACCUAGUCUCACCACAGCCACAUCAGGCCUGUUUUAUUUCUACUCCAGGGACUUGGGAGAUCGGUUGUGUCGGCGCCCUGCAUAUACUGGCAGUGUGCCCCUUCCUGCGGCAAUUCAUGCAUUGCAUUUGUCGACAUAUUAUGGUGUGAUGGUAGUUACACUUUCCACACUUCGGGAGAGUUCCAUCAUAUUGACUGACAGGUGCUGGAGUGGCAGGUGUUAUGGUGGCGUUUAUAGUAACCACUUGUUGCUCCUGCGGGGGUUCCUGUGUUGUUCGCUCCUUCUUAUUUUUCCCCGACUUUUGUUUAUAGUCCCCUCCCUUUGAUGGCUCGGGAACUAGGACCACCACGUCAUGGCGGACUCCAUGGUCAAUGAGUCUCUGGGCCAGGCAUUUGGAGCUAUCGAAGGUAGUUGGAUUAUAAGAUAGUACAUCCCCCUGAAUCAGGGUAGAUAAGCCCCAUAUGUACUUUUCUAUAUUCUUACUCUCUAGGGUAACCAUCCCGGGGCAUAGUGCUGCUAGGUCGCUAAACCUAUCACUGUAGGACACUAUGUCUGAGCCGACCAUGGUGUGCUCCCAUAGCUGUUUUUCCAACUUUUGAACUUCGCCCCUAGGGCAAUAUUCUUCCAACAUCAUCUAUUUCAGGUUCUUCCAACCCAUUGAGUUCGCCACUGAUAGGGUCAGUGACUUAACAUGGCUAUUCCACCAUGUUAGGGCUCUGUUGGAGAAGUGCAGGCAUCAAACUUCACUUUGCUCCCUUCUGGGCACAUGCAGAUUUCAAAAACCGAAUCUGUUAUCUCGAACCAUCGCAUAAGAUCAAUGACUCCCCCAUUUCCAUUAAAGGAUUUGGGUUAUCAAUUCAUGAAGUCCUUAUACGAACACUUUCGUGGGUGUCCGUGGGUAACUCCAGGGUUAGUUAAGUGGGUACCACUACCAGUUCCACUGGUACCACUUGCACGAAUGUGAGUUAUAUUAACUAUUAUUGCGGCCGUUAUCGCUGCAUGGAAAGCAGCAGGAUCAAAUUGUGGUGGUGGAUUCUUUGUUGUGCUAUUGGCCACACGCAUUACAGGUUUACCAUGAGGCAUAUUUUGAUAAAAUAAUACAAAGAUGAAAUGGAAUUAAGUCUCUAUCAGUGGUUGUAAGCUGAAAGUUGAAUAAGUUAUCCUAGUUCUGAAUGUAUCUGGUUCUGACUUUCAUAGGGUUCUGGAAACAAUUCAUAAAGCGAGUCUAUAUAAAAUAAACUUAAUGAAUUAGAAGUGGAUAUCCUCGAAUGAAUCUCUGUAAAUUGAAUAUCCGUUACUGGCUGCAUGAAAAGAAAUAAUCCUAACACAUAGUGUGAGUAGUCUAUUUACUAGCUCACUAAGUCAUUUAAGGUUAUUAUUUAUUAGUGUGACGCAUAGGACAUUUUGGUUUCUUCGGCUGAUCCCUCCUUGGAAAACUCCUCUUGAAUCUCUUUUUGUUUCUCCUUGACUCCUCUGCUGAAUGCCAUGAUGGAGUGGUUACAUUUAUCUGGGUUUGUUGUGCGAGAAUGGAAGUGUCUAAAGAAUUUAUGAGAUUAAGUGAAACGUUAUGGGGUGAUCCUUACCGAGUCCUCCUAUAAUUGCGCAAUGUAUACAAGUUGUAUAUAAUUUACGAUUAAAUAGACCUUCGGAUAAGUGAUCCUACUCUAAAACCACAACCAAUCAAGGAACAGGAAGUAGAGCAUAGAUCACAAAUUCUAAGUCUAUAAAAUCUUAAUUAUAUAAACCUUGGGAGUACACACUCCAGAAUUAUCGACCUACCAGAAGGGUCUUUAAAUUAUCACAUAAGGUAUUUAUAUAGUGCAUAAAAUACUUCUAUAGUAUUUUAAUGUAAUAAACUUGGUAUGUUUUAAACUCGUUGUUGUCUUAUAGUAUCAUAAAAUACUCCUAUAGUAUUUUAACUUUAUGUUCUGAUCUAGAAAUCCCUUAAAUAGAGUUAGGUAAGUUUUAAGACUGCUGAAACACCACAUCACUCCCAAACACAUGUCGGUCAUAUCCCAAAUAAAUACAACAUAUAAGGCUAUAUUGAUCCCAAAUAUGAUUACAUAACUGCUUAGGUAUGACCACAGUGUCCAACCUUUAAAUACUUUUAUGAUGUUCUCCUUGUGAUACUUGUUCUAGUAUGUAUAUAUGUAUAUGCAUGUAUAUAUAUACAUUUAUAAGAUUACUGUUAUAUCUUAAAAUAUACUUUUAGUCAGAGCACUCGGCCCCAUUGUAUUUAUAGUUGUAUAUCGUUUAUAGGUUGACAUACUUAAUUCACUAUAAACAAUGCUCUGAUACCAAUCUGUCACACCCCAAACCGGAACGGCGGAAACGUUCGGGAGCGGAAGACGUCAUAUGUAGUAUCAUAACACAUGCAUCAUAGUAAUCGAAUUAACAAACAGCCAUUGCAUUAAUAUUAAAGUGUUUACAAUGGAUGUGAUUCACAAAAUAUUGACUAUAAAAGUAAAUAACAAAACAAGACAUGAAGCUAUUAUACUCCAUCUUCUAAAUCCCGGUGCGCGUACCUGUCUACUAGUUUCCUGAAAAUACAAGUUAUUUUGAAAGAGUCGAUCAACAUUUAAGUUGGUGAGUUCAUAAGUAUUUAAGUGAUGAAAAGUAAGUUCUUUAGAAAAGUUCGUCUGUUCCUCCAGAAAAUCCUAUAUUUUCUGAUGUGGUGAAAGAUAAGUAAAAAUGACUCUACAAUUUCUUCUAUGAGUACUAAAUGGAUACAAGUUAUAUACAAUUUAGAGGAAAUAGACAAUUGAUUGUGUGGAUCUGCCCUAAGCCCACAACCAAACAAGGAACAAGAAAUGAGACGGAAGUCACAUAUCCCAUUGUUUGUUAGAUCAUCAUUGUAUAUAACCCUGACAUAUUCAUUUGGUACCUACGGAGUUAACUGUAAUAGUUCUUUUAUAUUUGAAGAAAACAUUCUUUAAGAAAAUCAUAUAUUUACUUUAGUAAAAUAGUAACCACAAUAGUUCCUUCUAUGAUCACUUAGUUUAUACUAGUUAUAUAUAAUGUAAUAUCGAAUGGACACUUAAAUGUAUGAAUCUGCCCUAAGCCCACAACCAAACAAGGAACAGGGAAUGAGGCAGAAGUCACACAUUCCACUACCUAACGGAUAUUAAUUAUAUAUAACUCUGAUAUAUAAACUAAGGUAUUAUAGAAUUAACUACUUAAGGUCCUUUAUGUUAU
rnacentral:lncRNA from 1 species